CAUCCCUAGAGCCUCGAGCUCUCUAAAGGGUUGUUCUAGACUAGAACGUUGAUAGGCAGGGUGUGUAAGCGCUGUGAGGCGUUGAGCUAACCUGUACUAAUGGCCCGUGAGGCUUAACCAUACAACACCCAAG
rnacentral:rRNA from 1 species